rnacentral:rRNA from 1 species
GACGAACCGUGCGAACGUUGUUCGGAUUCACUGGGCUUAAAGGGCGCGUAGGCGGGUUGUCAAGUCAGGGGUGAAAUCUUUCGGCUCAACCGGAAAAGUGCUUCUGAUACUGGCAGCCUGGAGGGAGGUAGGGGCAGAUGGAACUUCCGGUGGAGCGGUGAAAUGCGUAGAUAUCGGAAGGAACGCCGGUGGCGAAAGCGGGUUGCUGGGCUGACACUGACGCUGAACUGCGAAAGCUAGGGGAGCGAACGGG